AAAAGGUUGCUCUCUCCUCUGGAAUUGAGGGCUGAUAAUCAUUCUUUCCAUAUUCCAUUAUUUCUCCAGUGAAAUGUACCAAAAAGUUGCUAACCUUGCUCUUCAUAAGAGCUUCUCUUUCUCCCUGCUUUAAGACAUUAAGAAAUAAGUAUUGAUUCUCGAGAUAAGAAUAAGUGCCCUUUAUGGUGGUAGAAGUUUUGUCAUGAAAGAUGCACUAAGAAAGCUCUAGGAACUUGAGCUUGGACAACAUACGUGAAUAAAGUUCAGAACCAUAUUUUGGUUAUCCUUUUUUUCUUUAUCUCCUAGAUCAAAUAUUUUGUUGCAUAUAGGAAGCUGUACCUCUUAAGAAAUAAGUAUUGAUUCUCAACUGUUGCUUAAAUAUUUUUAGAACUGUUAACCAAGAAUUCCUGCAUUGGGAUCACCAAGGGUCUCAUCUUCUGCUUUGCCUUUCCUCUUCUUCCUUUUCCCACUUUUCUUUAUUUAAGCUCUCUUCUUUUUCUUUUUCUCCCUUUCGACAUCCCUAACAUCCUUUUUCUCUGUAGAUCCUGCAUCUUCCCUGCCUUCCCUUUUCUUUUUCUUGUUUCACCAAAACUAAAUGAAAGGAACUAGGGUAGUUGCAGCUAUCUGUGAAACUUAGGUGUUUUUACUUGCCAAGGAUUCAGUAAGGAGCACAAUGCAAUGUGGGGAAAAAAAAAGUCAAAGCAGCUCCUUGGCACUUCACCAUGUCUUCUUCUCUUUUAUGUUCGCCCACCAAUUUAACAUAUUUAAUUAUUCAAAGUGUCUUUUUUGUUUUCCAAGUGUUUCUCGUACAUAGUACUUUUGCUUUUGCAGUUAAUGUGACAAAUUCUAGUUCUGGUUGUCACUGAAUUGCCAAAUCAUCAUUUAUACCUAUAGGCAGAGAAGGGACAAUGAUGAAAAGGAUAUCACAGAUGCCUAUUAACAUGGCUUCUUUCUUGGUCUAUGUGGCUCUUUUGUUUUCAAAGCACCACACUUGGAACAGUUUGUUCAUCAUUGUUGUUCAGGAUAUCUUCAAAGUUCCAUCCUUUGUGUUUUUGCCUGAAAGCACUUAAUGGGGACUGAGGCGUGGUUGAUCGAUUGUUUGAUUGAUUUUGCGGCUAAAAGCAAAACAUCACCUUUUGAGAAUCAAAAAAGAGGAAGAAUGUUAUAUACUGAUAAAAAUGUUCCACAUUGAGUGAGGGAUGGGCUGUUGUCUCCUUAUAGGCAAUCCUCAGUUCAUGAUUUAGUAAUUUGGGUUGAGUUGGACCAAUGUCCAUUUUCAUGUAGUAUUGCUUUGUUUUGGAUGAACACAUUAUCAAAUCUGAUUGUUUUUGCUCUUAACUUCAGAUCUUACAUUGCUGCUCUUCUUCCUUUUCUUGUAGGAUGAAGGGAACUAAAGCACCAUCUUCAGAUUGUUGCAUCUACAUGGCCGGACAUUGUUUCUUGAUUAUGUAUCUUUGCGAUGUCUGAUAUCUGCAAGAUAAUCUGUAAUAGAGAACAUAAAAUUUGAUGUUUUCAUUUGGUGGUACAAAUUUGUAGUCUCGCAAUCCAGUUGCAGUCAAGCACUCCCCUCCUCCCAAAUCCACCAAAAGAAAAAAUAUUUCUGAUCAAUUGAAAGGGUGUUCCCUCAAGUUUAUGAUGUUUUCUAAAGAUUUUAACAUGUUUCUGAACUCGUAGUCACAUUAUUUGAAUUGCAGAGAGCAAAAUGUCGCCUCUAGUUAUUUAUUUAUGGACAAAUUACUGUAUAUUUUGCUUUCUGAGUACAUCUGGAAAUGGAAUAAUGGAUUGAAUUAACAAAGGAUAAUUUAUCUCGCAUAGGAAAGUCAAAACGUUGUUGGUUUAUAUAUCAUAGUAGUGCUUCGCCAUCUUUUGGACAAUAUUAGUUCUAUUUCUGAAGAAAUUACAUGGAUCGAGGGAAACCUAUGUAAAUAUAUUGGUUUCAAAUCUUGUGGAGUUUGGAUUUGAUUUUGGUUCUGCGUUUAU
rnacentral:lncRNA from 1 species